GACGAACGCUGGCGGCGUGCUUAACACAUGCAAGUCGAACGGAAAGGCCCUGCUUUUGUGGGGUGCUCGAGUGGCGAACGGGUGAGUAACACGUGAGUAACCUGCCCUUGACUGUGGGAUAACUUCAGGGAACUGGGGCUAAUACCGGAUAGGAGCUCCUGCUGCAUGGUGGGGGAUGGAAAGUUUCGGCGGUUGUGGAUGGACUCGCGGCUUAUCAGCUUGUUGGUGGGGUAGUGGCUUACCAAGGCUUUGACGGGUAGCCGGCCUGAGAGGGUGACCGGCCACAUUGGGACUGCGAUACGGCCCAGACUCCUACGGGAGGCAGCAGUGGGGAACAUUGCACAAUGGGCGGAAGCCUGAUGCAGCAACGCCGCGUGCGGGAUGACGGCUUUCGGGUUGUAAACCGCUUUCGCCUGUGACGAAGCGUGAGUGACGGUAAUGGGUAAAGAAGCACCGGCUAACUACGUG
rnacentral:rRNA from 1 species